UGAGUGUGGUUGUGAUACAGUAGCUUCAUUUUCAGCUUUUAUCCACAUAUGGAACCAACAUAAAUGUAAAGCAAGUAAAGGUUUCUCCUCUUCCAUCAACUGGUCUUAUGGAAUCCCUCAUUUGGCUAUAAAGUACUCCUGCUACAAGAAAACCACUGGAUCCUACCCUUUGGAGAAGAAAAAUGCGUAACGGAGGAGUUCAUCUGAUAGUUAUUUGAUGUAAACAUUCCAACAGUCUCCUUUUCCAGCUCAUGGGAUCUGUCUGAAGUGUGUCCAGAGAGGAAACAAAUGCAUAUGGCCCAUUAUGACCUCGCCACACAGAGGCAAAUGCCAACUCCAACAGUUCAGGUGAACAUCAAAACAUUUGCUCGAAGACCCCAAACCCCAGGGUGUGUUUCCAGUGUGGAGACCUAUUGUCUCUCAUCUAGAGUACAUUUUCCAAUAUCACCAAGGAUUAAACAAAAUCAUGUGUGUGAA